rnacentral:rRNA from 1 species
UGGGGAUAACUCCGGGAAACCGGGGCUAAUACCGAAUGAUAAAGUGUGGCGCAUGCCACGCUUUUGAAAGAUGGUUUCGGCUAUCGCUUACAGAUGGGCCCGCGGUGCAUUAGCUAGUUGGUAGGGUAAUGGCCUACCAAGGCAACGAUGCAUAGCCGACCUGAGAGGGUGAUCGGCCACACUGGGACUGAGACACGGCCCAGACUCCUACGGGAGGCAGCAGUAGGGAAUCUUCCGCAAUGGACGAAAGUCUGACGGAGCAACGCCGCGUGUAUGAAGAAGGUUUUCGGAUCGUAAAGUA